CCUGAUUCUUAUCCUCUCACACAGCCACACAAACACGAGCACCAUGCCAGCAGCAGCCGCGCCCGAGCAACUCCAGUGCUCGCAGCCGCCGGACGCUGCCGUCUGCGCGAAGGGCCGCCGCCCGCGCCUCCUACCGCAGCACGCCGAUUCGUCGGGAUCCGGUUGGAUCCGGAUGCCAGCGCCCCGUUCCGACCUCCCCGCCUCGCUUGGGUCGUCGGCCACCUCGACGACGUCAUACCGCUUGCGGGAUCCAACGCCACCGCUGGCCGGCCACUUCCUCGCCUGGAGGAGACGCCCCCACAUCGGCACCUUCCAACACGAGCAGCAGCAGCGAACGCCUCGCUAAGGCGUCUCCAGUGGUGUCUUUUUAUUUUACAUUGUUUUAAAGAAGUUUGCCAGAUCCGUGCCAGAAAAACAAUGGCGAUGAACUCCGAUUGACAUCCCGCGAAGGGUCGGCGGCGCUUGAUGUGGUGGCUGCAGAAUAGCUCCGGGCAAAAGUAGUAGGCCAGAUUUGGAAAAAAAAUCUGUAAUUCCAAGUUUUUUGUUGUGUAUUUCUUCCUUUUGGUAAAAAUAAAAUUUAGUUAUCUGAUA